GUAGGUGAACCUGCGGAUGGAUCAUUAUCACGUAUCCACGUUUUAUCAACCAUUGUGAACCGUUCUUACCUUUGAGAAGAAUUUUGUAAGUGAUUGGGAGGAGAGAGAGAGAGUGUGUGUGUGGAGAGAGAGAGAUUUAUUUCUCUUUCUACAUAUGUCUUUCUUUCUUUCUUUCUUUCUUUCUCAAAGUGUAUUUUAAUCACUUCAUUUUUCAUUAACACUUUAACCAAAAACUAUUAAACUCAUGUCUUAUCUUAUUUUAUACUCCUUCACGGAGAUAAAAUUCUAUUACGAAACAUAAGAACAACUCUUAGCAACGGAUAUCUUGGUUCUC
rnacentral:misc_RNA from 1 species